UGGGGAAUUUUGGACAAUGGGCGCAAGCCUGAUCCAGCAAUGCCGCGUGCAGGAUGAAGGCCUUCGGGUUGUAAACUGCUUUUGUACGGAACGAAAAGCUUCUGGUUAAUACCUGGGAGUCAUGACGGUACCGUAAGAAUAAGCACCGGCUAACUACGUGCCAGCAGCCGCGGUAAUACGUAGGGUGCGGGCGUUAAUCGGAAUUACUGGGCGUAAAGCGUGCGCAGGCGGUUAUGUAAGACAGAGGUGAAAUCCCCGGGCUCAACCUGGGAACUGCCUCUGGGACUGCAUGGCUAGAGUGCGGCAGAGGGGGAUGGAAUUCCGCGUGUAGCAGUGAAACGCGUAGAUAUGCGGAGGAACACCGAUGGCGAAGGCAAUCCCCUGGGCCUGCACUGACGCUCAUGCACGAAAGCGUGGGGAGCAAACA
rnacentral:rRNA from 1 species